rnacentral:lncRNA from 1 species
ACUAUAUGGAGUAGAUCAUUAUGUAGAAGUCUCUGAUAGGGAUGCUGUCUUCAAAAAAGAAAGAAACUUUGAUAAGAAAACUUUCCCAGCAACCCAUUCAAAAGAGAAGACCUCAAUGAUUCGUAUACUCCUAUAUGAAAAAAAUAAGAAAAAGAACAUGUUCUAUACAGUUUCAUAAGAAUGCCUGGGCACAGCAGCCAUGUGUUUAAGAAAACUAGGAGAGCAACAAAUUAGUGCAGAAC